rfam:Chloroflexi bacterium RBG_13_50_10 RBG_13_scaffold_60312, whole genome shotgun sequence.
GACAGCAGGUGCCGCAAGGCUUAAAUAAUAUACCUGCCGAGGUAACUUGAGUGUAACGGGUCAUUGUAACCCGAUUUAAGGUCCUUGUGUCAUGGCAAGGAUUUUUUUAUUUACAGGA